AGAGUUUGAUCCUGGCUCAGGAUGAACGCUAGCUACAGGCUUAACACAUGCAAGUCGAGGGGCAGCAUGACCUAGCAAUAGGUUGAUGGCGACCGGCGCACGGGUGAGUAACACGUAUCCAACCUACCGGUUAUUCCGGGAUAGCCUUUCGAAAGAAAGAUUAAUACCGGAUAGUAUAACGAGAAGGCAUCUUUUUGUUAUUAAAGAAUUUCGAUAACCGAUGGGGAUGCGUUCCAUUAGUUUGUUGGCGGGGUAACGGCCCACCAAGACAUCGAUGGAUAGGGGUUCUGAGAGGAAGGUCCCCCACAUUGGAACUGAGACACGGUCCAAACUCCUACGGGAGGCAGCAGUGAGGAAUAUUGGUCAAUGGACGAGAGUCUGAACCAGCCAAGUAGCGUGAAGGAUGACUGCCCUAUGGGUUGUAAACUUCUUUUAUAUGGGAAUAAAGUGAGCCACGUGUGGCUUUUUGUAUGUACCAUACGAAUAAGGAUCGGCUAACUCCGUGCCAGCAGCCGCGGUAAUACGGAGGAUCCGAGCGUUAUCCGGAUUUAUUGGGUUUAAAGGGAGCGUAGGCGGACUAUUAAGUCAGCUGUGAAAGUUUGCGGCUCAACCGUAAAAUUGCAGUUGAUACUGGUCGUCUUGAGUGCAGUAGAGGUAGGCGGAAUUCGUGGUGUAGCGGUGAAAUGCUUAGAUAUCACGAAGAACUCCGAUUGCGAAGGCAGCUUACUGGACUGUAACUGACGCUGAUGCUCGAAAGUGUGGGUAUCAAACAGGAUUAGAUACCCUGGUAGUCCACACAGUAAACGAUGAAUACUCGCUGUUUGCGAUAUACGGCAAGCGGCCAAGCGAAAGCAUUAAGUAUUCCACCUGGGGAGUACGCCGGCAACGGUGAAACUCAAAGGAAUUGACGGGGGCCCGCACAAGCGGAGGAACAUGUGGUUUAAUUCGAUGAUACGCGAGGA
rnacentral:rRNA from 1 species